UACAGGCUUAACACAUGCAAGUCGAGGGGCAGCAUGGUCUUAGCUUGCUAAGACUGAUGGCGACCGGCGCACGGGUGAGUAACACGUAUCCAACCUGCCGUCUACUCUUGGACAGCCUUCUGAAAGGAAGAUUAAUACAAGAUGGCAUCAUGAGUCCGCAUGUUCACAUGAUUAAAGGUAUUCCGGUAGACGAUGGGGAUGCGUUCCAUUAGAUAGUAGGCGGGGUAACGGCCCACCUAGUCUUCGAUGGAUAGGGGUUCUGAGAGGAAGGUCCCCCACAUUGGAACUGAGACACGGUCCAAACUCCUACGGGAGGCAGCAGUGAGGAAUAUUGGUCAAUGGGCGAGAGCCUGAACCAGCCAAGUAGCGUGAAGGAUGACUGCCCUAUGGGUUGUAAACUUCUUUUAUAAAGGAAUAAAGUCGGGUAUGCAUACCCGUUUGCAUGUACUUUAUGAAUAAGGAUCGGCUAACUCCGUGCCAGCAGCCGCGGUAAUACGGAGGAUCCGAGCGUUAUCCGGAUUUAUUGGGUUUAAAGGGAGCGUAGAUGGAUGUUUAAGUCAGUUGUGAAAGUUUGCGGCUCAACCGUAAAAUUGCAGUUGAUACUGGAUAUCUUGAGUGCAGUUGAGGCAGGCGGAAUUCGUGGUGUAGCGGUGAAAUGCUUAGAUAUCACGAAGAACUCCGAUUGCGAAGGCAGCCUGCUAAGCUGCAACUGACAUUGAGGCUCGAAAGUGUGGGUAUCAAACAGGAUUAGAUACCCUGGUAGUCCACACGGUAAACGAUGAAUACUCGCUGUUUGCGAUAUACUGCAAGCGGCCAAGCGAAAGCGUUAAGUAUUCCACCUGGGGAGUACGCCGGCAACGGUGAAACUCAAAGGAAUUGACGGGGGCCCGCACAAGCGGAGGAACAUGUGGUUUAAUUCGAUGAUACGCGAGGAACCUUACCCGGGCUUAAAUUGCAGAUGAAUUACGGUGAAAGCCGUAAGCCGCAAGGCAUCUGUGAAGGUGCUGCAUGGUUGUCGUCAGCUCGUGCCGUGAGGUGUCGGCUUAAGUGCCAUAACGAGCGCAACCCUUGUUGUCAGUUACUAACAGGUUCCGCUGAGGACUCUGACAAGACUGCCAUCGUAAGAUGUGAGGAAGGUGGGGAUGACGUCAAAUCAGCACGGCCCUUACGUCCGGGGCUACACACGUGUUACAAUGGGGGGUACAGAGGGCCGCUACCACGCGAGUGGAUGCCAAUCCCCAAAACCUCUCUCAGUUCGGACUGGAGUCUGCAACCCGACUCCACGAAGCUGGAUUCGCUAGUAAUCGCGCAUCAGCCACGGCGCGGUGAAUACGUUCCCGGGCCUUGUACACACCGCCCGUCAAGCCAUGGGAGCCGGGGGUACCUGAAGUGCGUAACCGCGAGGAGCGCCCUAGGGUAAAACUGGUGACUGGGGCUAAGU
rnacentral:rRNA from 1 species